CCUACGGGAGGCAGCAGUGAGGAAUAUUGGUCAAUGGCCGGAAGGCUGAACCAGCCAUGCCGCGUGAAGGUCAGUGCCCUAUGGGCGUUAAACUUCUUUUGUGCGGGAGCAAUAAUGGUCACGUGUGGCCAGACGAGAGUACCGUACGAAUAAGCAUCGGCUAACUCCGUGCCAGCAGCCGCGGUAAUACGGGGGAUGCAAGCGUUAUCCGGAUUUAAUGGGUUUAAAGGGUGCGUAGGCUGUGAGGUAAGUCAGCGGUGAAAUGCCUCCGCUCAACGGGGUGAAGUGCCAUUGAUACUGGCUUGCUAGAGUGCGUAUGCGGUGGGAGGAAUGUGUGGUGUAGCGGUGAAAUGCAUAGAUAUCACACAGAACACCGAUUGCGAAGGCAUCUCACGAAGCCGUAAUUGACGCUGAUGCACGAAAGCGUGGGUAUCAAACAGGAUUAGAUACCCGUGUAGUC
rnacentral:rRNA from 1 species